rnacentral:rRNA from 1 species
UACAGAGGUCUCAAGCGUUGUUCGGAUUCAUUGGGCGUAAAGGGUGCGUAGGCGGCGCGGUAAGUCGGGUGUGAAAUCUCGGGGCUUAACUCCGAAACUGCAUUCGAUACUGCCGUGCUUGAGGACUGGAGAGGAGACUGGAAUUUACGGUGUAGCGGUGAAAUGCGUAGAUAUCGUAAGGAAGACCAGUGGCGAAGGCGGGUCUCUGGACAGUUCCUGACGCUGAGGCACGAAGGCCAGGGGGAGCAAAACAGG